CCUACGGGCGGCAGCAGUGAGGAAUAUUGGUCAAUGGACGAGAGUCUGAACCAGCCAAGUAGCGUGAAGGAUGACUGCCCUAUGGGUUGUAAACUUCUUUUAUAUGGGAGUAAAAUGUUCCACGUGUGGGAUUUUGUAUGUACCAUAUGAAUAAGGAUCGGCUAACUCCGUGCCAGCAGCCGCGGUAAUACGGAGGAUCCGUGCGUUAUCCGGAUUUAUUGGGUUUAAAGGGAGCGUAGGUGGAUUGUCAAGUCAGUUGUGAAAGCUUGCGGCUCAACCGUAAAAUUGCAGUUGAAACUGGCAGUCUUGAGUACAGUAGAGGUGGGCGGAAUUCGUGGUGUAGCGGUGAAAUGCUUAGAUAUCACGAAGAACUCCGAUUGCGAAGGCAGCUCACUGGACUGUAACUGACACUGAGGCUCGAAAGUGUGGGUAGCAAACAGGAUUAGAUACCCGGGUAGUC
rnacentral:rRNA from 1 species